CGCGUAGGUGGUUUGUUAAGUUGGAUGUGAAAGCCCCGGGCUCAACCUGGGAACUGCAUCCAAAACUGGCAAGCUAGAGUACGGUAGAGGGUGGUGGAAUUUCCUGUGUAGCGGUGAAAUGCGUAGAUAUAGGAAGGAACACCAGUGGCGAAGGCGACCACCUGGACUGAUACUGACACUGAGGUGCGAAAGCGUGGGUAGCAAACA
rnacentral:rRNA from 1 species